AAAAUCUAUGUCUCCUCAAACAUAAAUAAUAUCUUAUUCGCUCUGCUCUCUCUCGCUCUCCAUCUCUGUCGAUUUUUCUCACUCUCCUUCUUCCUUCCUCCUCAACAGGGCAUUCAGCGGCCGUUCAUCUCUGCCAAAUCCGGAUAGCCAAUCUUGGCGGUUGGAUUGUGUGAGUGAAAGUCACUAGAAGUCAGUACUGUCCCACAUCAGUCAGGACGUGAGGGGACACACAGUGUCAGCAUUCCCACAGCGGUUACAGGGGCGGAGACGAACAGAUGGCUUGUGGGUGAUUAUGGGAGGCUGGACCACAUGUUGAGAGGAGAAACAUGAUAUUACUAGGCUUGUUUCAGGAGAAAAAUCUGAGAAGUAUACGAGACUUGAGAUAUUCAUCAAAAUCUGAGAACAGUUUGAGAGGUUGUUGAGAUCUCUCAGGAAAAACUUCUCCUAUAUUUGGAGAAAACAUCUCCAAUUUUUUAUUCAUUUUAUUUUUUUUUCUCUCUAUAGGAGAAACAAUUGAAAUAUUAAAGAGAUCACAGUUGUGGUUUUUAAUUCUUGUUUUAGCAAAUCUGAGCACAUUUUUACUGAGACAUUAGCUAUGUUUCCAUCCAAAGUUGCGAAUUUAACUAUGUGCAAAAUUGUAAUAUCACAUUAAACAAUUGCAAAUAAAGCACUGAUUCCAUCAAACGAGUUAAACAAAACAAAACCAUCACUUCCUGAUAAACUGGCACCAGGCCCAUAGCUGGGGUUUGCGGGGCCCCGGUGCAAGUUGUAUCAGUGGGCCCUGUUUGAAUUUGUUUAAUUUGUAUGUUUGUUCUAUUUAUUUAUUUGUGCUCUUUACACAGUGUUUAAGUUUUUUCAAGUUUGUAGGUGUCCAGUCACAGAAACCGAAUAAUUCAAUGUAAAAUAGCACUGCAUAGUCUUCAAUGUAAAAAUUAAAUAUACAGUCAAACCACAAUUCAUUCAUCAAAAUUCAAACCUUCAACGUUUUCUUGG